rnacentral:misc_RNA from 1 species
AUUUGAUGCGUGGCAUACGUGACAUGUAGGAGGCACCUCAUAAAGAAAACAAGAAAUGCCAAUCCACACAGUUUGAUUAAAAGGAUAGUUUGAAGGGAUGUUAUUACACAUAAAUGAGACAAACUUGUGCCCAAACAUUAAAUAAGACCAACCAGUUGAUAAAAAAAACAGUGACAUCUUUUCUAUUAACAGUAUUGGGUUUUCCUGGUCUAGUGAAUUUUUUAUGAUAAAUUUGUCUCAAUAAGCUCUAGAUAUAGUAACUUGUAGAUCAGGGUAGUGACAAAAGAGUUUGAGCUGCUUGGAGAUGCUUCCCCAAUUCUUAUCAUGUGCACAGGCAUGCAUUAUGAACAUAUUCAAAUGCUCUCAACAUAGGUUACUAAUUCCAUUUCGUGUGAAACUACAACAUCAAAGGAUAUUCUCUUCUCCAUCCCUACUCAUUUGCAUGAUCAAUAAGGUUUUGCAAUAGAGUAAUCUCCUUCAGAAUCCACUGGGUAUUGCAGAUGAUGAAAAGAACAAAAGCAAAGUUAGAAGGAGAAGAAAAAACCACACGUGUGCACUCAGUCACAAUAACAAAACGCAUAAGAGAUAAAACAACAAGGCAUAUAAAAGAUAAAAGAAGUAUUAGAAUUUGGAGUGAAAUAGCAUAAAACUAUUUAGAGAGUUUGAAAACAUGAGACAGUUCAGAAAUCAUCAUAAUCAAAC